rnacentral:lncRNA from 1 species
ACAGCAGCAACACAUGCCUAUACCGAACGAGUAACUCUCUAGAUGAUACCAGCUGCAACGAGAAAAUACUACUAACACUGCUAACCGUACCUCCUAGCUCGACGAUGUUCCGAGCAACACUGGUGUCUGCAGUGUUCUUUCACCAAUCGCAUUCAAAGUGCUCAAGCGCAUGCGCUUUGAAACCAAGUGUUCACCGCGGGAAGGCAAA